rnacentral:misc_RNA from 1 species
AAGUAGAAUGGGAGCAUGCAUCUUUUCUUGGCAUAUAGCGCACAGAUCUCCUGCUGCAUUGACCUGCAUACAUUGCUGAAAACCUCAAACGCACGUACAACUUCCCCACUUUAUAAAUUUAUUUGUUUAUUUUGUGUGUGCUGCAAGAAAGAGCUAGCAAUAUGUGUCAACAGAGUUUCAAUAUUUCAGAGGUCAAACAAUUACUCCGAUUAUCAAGCCAUUUUCUGUAUUACAUCUCAAUGCACAGUCCCAGUAAAUGAGAUAAAUUAAAGUUCACAAAUAAAAACAACUGAAAAUAUUCUGAGAAAAUAAUGGGUGGCACUCUUUCCAAACAGAAAGCCUGGGUAUACUUGCAUUCCAAUCUCAUUUUAAAUUAAUCCACAACUGAAUCAUUGAAUUGUCCCUUAGGUAGUGAAUAGUGAGUAUAAAGGUAUGACGAUUUAAGCAAGAAAACUGUAGUUCAUAUUUGCAUGACCUAGUUUUGAACAAGUUCAGCGUACAGUUUAAAAUAACCUCUGACCAAUUCAAUUCUUUUGAUUUAGCUUAUUCAGAUAAUUCAGAUUUUUUUUGGUAUAAUAGCAAUAGAACAUAAUCGUAUGAUCUUAACCCACUCCCAUAACUAUCUGUGCUAUACGCAGGUGGCAUUUAAUUGAAAGCUAAGCAAGUUGAAUGCAAUAAAACCAGCACAGACUAAUAUGCCAAGGAGUGAAAUGGAUUUGAAAUUUCAAUUCUACUUUAUUGUCUUAAACGUAUACAAAUUUCUUUAUUCAUGGCAAGUAUUCUAAUACAUCAAGCAGGUUGAUCAGUGUAUACCCCCUAGUAAUACAAAAAGUUGCAUAUCAAAUAACAUUUUUGCAGUUUAUCAUUGGUACAAUGAAGAACCAAUUUCUAAUCAAUCAUUUAAACAAACUCCAGUUUUUAGUUAACAAUUAUUCCACCAACAAAAAUACCCACAGAAGUUUAGAGCUGCAUUAAUUUACUACACUUUUACAUUUAUAUCAAACCUUUUCAUUGCAUUUAAACACCAAUAUAAUUUAUUACACGUGUAUUUUCUAAAUACCA